rnacentral:rRNA from 1 species
UCAUGCAGACUUGUCUCUAGUGAUGCCCAGACUCAUCGGAUUUUGGAAGUUAAGUAAGAUUAAGCCUGGCUAGUAUUUGGAUGGGUGACUGCCUGGAUAUACUGGUUGCUGUAAGCU